rnacentral:rRNA from 1 species
GCCUACGGGGCGCAGCAGUAGGGAAUCUUCCACAAUGGGCGAAAGCCUGAUGGAGCAACGCCGCGUGGGUGAAGAAGGUCUUCGGAUCGUAAAACCCUGUUGUUAGAGAAGAAAGUGCGUGAGAGUAACUGUUCACGUUUCGACGGUAUCUAACCAGAAAGCCACGGCUAACUACGUGCCAGCAGCCGCGGUAAUACGUAGGUGGCAAGCGUUAUCCGGAUUUAUUGGGCGUAAAGAGAACGCAGGCGGUCUUUUAAGUCUGGUGUGAAAGCCUUCGGCUUAACCGGAGUAGUGCAUUGGAAACU